CUCGUGAUCUACCCUCCUCGGCUUCCCAAGACGCUGGGAUUACAGGUGUGAGCCACUGCGCCCGGCCUCUUUUUUUGGAAUUAGCUGUUAGCCCUUCCCAAGUUGUAUUCAUAGCUUAAAGCCUAUCUAAGCUUUUGCCAAGAACAUAAAGAUUUAAGCAAAACGGAAUGAUAACAGUAUUAUUCUGUUUAAGGCCGGGCAUGGUGGCUCACAUCUGUAAUCCCAGCACUUUAGGAGGCUGAGGUGAUUGGAUCAUCUGAGGUCAGGAGUUCCAGAUCAGCCUAGCCAACAUGGUGAAAUCCCAUCUCUACUAAAAUAUAAAAAUUAGCUGGGUGUGGUGGUGCAUGCCUGUAAUCCCAGCUACUCGGGAGGCUGAGGCGGGAGAAUGGCGUGAACCCAGGCGGCGGAGGCUGAGACAUGAGAAUCACUUGAAAAGGAGGCAGAGGUUGCAGUGAGCCAAGAUCGCGCCACUGCACUCCAGCUUGGGUGAGAGUGAGACUCUGUCUCAAAAAAGAAAAAAAAAAAGAAAAGAAAAAAGAAAAAAUUCUGCUUAUAGCAGUGUAAAGUUUUAAAAGAUGGCUUCACAUAGGCCUGGCACAGUGGCUCAUGCCUAUAAUCCCAGCACUUUGGGAGGCUGAGGCGAGUGGAUCACCUGAGGUCAGGAGUUCGAGACCAGGCUGACCAACAUGGUGAAACCCUGCAUCUACUAAAAAUACAAAAUUAGCUGGACAUGAUGGCGCAUGCCUGUAAUCCCAGAUAUUCGGGAGGCUGAGGCAGAAGAAUUGCUUGAACCAGGGAGGUGGAGAUUGCAGUAAGCCAAGAUCGUGCCAUUGCACUCCAGCCUGGACAAGAGUGAAACUCCAUCUAAAAAAAAAAAAUGGCUUCACAUAUAUUUGAUGCCAGGCUCAUUUGACCUUUAAGAAGAAAAACAGGAUGUAAUUACAGCAGAUUUUUUUCAGCUCUAUUUUGUGGAGAAGACAUUAAGGCUCACAGAGGUAAAGUCUCUUGCUCAGUAUCACAGAGUUAUCAAAUGGUAAAGCAAGAAUUUAAAUCAAGGUCUUUCAAGUAGUACAAUUUUUCUUACACACGAUUAAUUGAAAACCAUGAGGACUGUCCUUGGCCCACAGGAUUGGAUCUCCUUGCUGUGCUGACAGCUGGAUCUGUUCAUCAACUCACCACCUUUGUCCAGCCCCAUGACCUGGUCAAACCUCAGGCUAUCAAUGUGGUACAGCGGCUCCAGUACCCAGUAAAACCCAAAAUACAACAAAGGAGAACAGAAGAUGCAUGUAAUCUCGAUGUUUGAACGUUUGAAUGAUUGACUGAAAAGAAGACACAAACAAUUUCAAACAGUGUCUCUGGUACCAGGACAAACCAGGAACAUUCUGAUCCUAGAGUUGUUUAAACAAAGACUGGAGAGUACUGCCUUCUUUGGCGUACCAGAACCCACAGUAAAGUGGUAAAUUACUGUGUAACCAGAUGGGACCUUCAAGUCCAACACUAUCAAAUUAUAAAGAAGAAUUUCAGUAGCAGCUCGGAUUACAACCUCACUCACUCCACUGAGCCACUCUGAGUAUUGCAAAACACUUAUAGGAUGCAGGUAUUGGUAAGGCGAUUCUAAUCAAUGUCCUAAUGUGUUUUUUCAAAAGUGUAUUCUUGCAAACCUAGUUUUAAGACAUCAUGACCCUGGCAUGAAUCACAAGAUCAAAAAAGCCUUCUGAGAUUCUGCAAACAUGGUAUCUCUAUCUCCUUGAUGUUCACCUGUAACAUUCCAGACAGGCUGUUGAGAUUGAGGUAGAGAUAGAGUGGGCAGCCUGAAGAAAAUUGUAAAUGUUUGUAAAACCCUCCGAGGGGAUUUGGUGAAGCAGAUGGCCCAGACCAAAUAAAAAGACUGCCAAGCUGUGUUGGAGGUUCACCUGAUUUUAGAGGGCAUGGAUUUAUUGUGGCUAUUGCAUACUAGACCCCUUGAGUUUCUUUUCACAUUUGCUCCUCAUGACAUCUUAAUAUGUAAAUAUAAUUUUCCUGAUUAUGCAGGAUUUAAAUCACUAAUACAAGCUGCCACCGCUAGUUAGGGUUUUGUAGUUGCAAACAACAGCAAAUCACUUUUAUCACAAGAUAAAAGGGAUUUCAUUGGAAAAAUAUGUGGAAACAAGAGGGGCAAAACAAAGGGGGAGGUUAAUGAACCAAUAUGUAAAAAACAAAACCAAAGCAUUUCACAGGCCUCAGUAGUAGAAAUGAAUAGAUUGAUUAUUUAGGACAUAGCUGCCUGUAUAUUGCUUAAUAUCUUUGGAUCACUCCACCCCAGAGUCCAAUUCCAGAGAGAGGGGAUGGUGGGGAGACACUGUCUGGCUUAGCUAGAGGCAUAUUCUUAGUUGGGGAGCUGCCUCCAAGACUGGAAUACAGCAUGGUGCAGAUUAAGAUGGUUUUGCCAAAGAAAGGAGGCUGGAUAAUGGUGAGCAAAAAUGAGCAUAUGUCCACUGCAGAUCACAUAUUUGUCAGAUGUGAAACCUAAUGUUAUAUGUUCUUUAGCUAGGUCUGUUGUCGUCUGGAUGAUUAUAGCACAAGUGAAACAGAAGACUAAGAGAUUUGAAGGCGUUAAUGCUGGAAAUAGUGAUGGAUAGUCACUAUAUUUCUGAGCUAGGGAAGAAAAUGAGGCCAGAAGAUAAUUUGGAAACCAGGAGAACUGAGACAAGGUGGGUUUAAAUCAAGUUUAGCUUAAAGCUGCCUUCUCACAUGUUUAAGUUUGGCCUACAGGUUUUUCUGUACAUCAUGAACUGUAAAAAGUGGAGGUAUACAGCCCACAUCCGUGCCAAUCA
rnacentral:lncRNA from 10 species